ensembl:lncRNA
GAAUUCCAAGUUAGUUGUCUGAUUUUGUGCAUCCAGAAUCUUCUGCUCUAUGAAUUGCAUCUUCAUUGUAAUGUCUUGAUGUGUCUUUUCAACCAACUCUUUUAUUGCCUCUUUCAUAUUUGCAUUGUUUCUUAUCGUUUGCAUGGCCUCUUCUUCUCUCAUCCUUACUUCCGACAAAUCUCUUUCUAGCAUCGUCCUUUCAUCCAAGGCCUUUCUUCGCUCUUCAUAAAUAUCAAGCUUCUCUUGUUCAAGCUGUGCUGUCCCUUCAAAGAUUAUUUCCAGGAUCACUUUAAGCUCCUCCUUCUUAUUGAUGACAUCACUCUUACAACGUUGAACUUCCUCCUGUUGUUUUAUUAGAUUUUCCUGCCCAAUUUGGAGAUCAUCAGUCAAUCGUUUCAGGUCACUGUCUAGAAGCUCUUGUUGUUUCUGUUUUUGGGCCAUGUGUUGUAUCUCUUUAUGAAGUUCUUGGAUUUUCUUUUGGCCUUCAAGAAGUAAAUGGUCCAUCUUUUCUCUGUCACUGUUCAAAUCGCUCUGUAGACCAUGAACUUUGUCUUGCUUUUCUUGGAGUUCCGCCUUUGCCAUUUCAAGUCUUUCUUUUUCUACUCUCACAAAAGAUUGAUCUCUUUCUAGUAUCUCAGUUUGUUCCCGGAUCUUUUCUUUCUCUCUUUCCAGUGCCUCUGUUUCUUUCUGGAUUUCAGACCUCAUGAUAUCCAAGUCAAGGUUGUCUUUGUUGAUUAUUUCUUUAACUGUGUCCAGAAAUUUACUUUGCCUGUCUACUGCUUCCUUUUCCGUAUUGAGAUCUUGUUUCUCCAGUAGCAGCUCCUCGUUCCAAUUCUUUUGCAUUUCUUGUUUUUGUACCAUCAUGUCCGAUGUCAUAUUGAUCAGAUCUUCUCUGUGUCUUUGUAUUUGUUCAAAGUGUGUGUCAAUCUCCAAUUUUUGCUCUUCCAUUUCUUUUUGCUGGAAUUCCAAGUUAGUUGUCUGAUUUUGUGCAUCCAGAAUCUUCUGCUCUAUGAAUUGCAUCUUCAUUGUAAUGUCUUGAUGUGUCUUUUCAACCAACUCUUUUAUUGCCUCUUUCAUAUUUGUGUUGUUUCUUAUCGUUUGCAUGGCCUCUUCUUCUCUCAUCCUUACUUCCGACAAAUCUCUUUCUAGCAUCGUCCUUUCGUCCAAGGCCUUUCUUCGCUCUUCAUAAAUAUCAAGCUUCUCUUGUUCAAGCUGUGCUGUCCCUUCAAAGAUUCUUUCCACAAUCACUUUAAGCUCCUCCUUCUUAUUCAUGACAUCACUCUUACAACGUUGAACUUCCUCCUGUUGUUUUAUUAGAUUUUCCUGCCCAAUUUGGAGAUCAUCAGUCAAUCGUUUCAGGUCACUGUCUAGAAGCUCAUGUUGUUUCUGUUUUUGGGCCAUCUGUUGUAUCUGUUUAUGAAGUUCUUGGAUUUUCUUUUGGCCUUCAAGAAGUAAAUGGUCCAUCUUUUCUCUGUCACUGUUCAAAUCGCUCUGUAGACCAUGAACUUUAUCUUGCUUUUCUUGGAGUUCCGCCUUUGCCAUUUCAAGUCUUUCUUUUUCUACUCUCACAAAAGAUUGAUCUCUUUCUAGUAUCUCAGUUUGUUCCCAUAUCUUUUCUUUCUCUCUUUCCAGUGUCUCUGUUUCUUUCUGGAUUUCAGACCUCAUGAUAUCCAAGUCAAGGUUGUCUUUGUUGAUUGUUUCUUUAACUGUGUCCAGAUAUUUGCUUUGCCUGUCUACUGCUUCCUUUUCCGUAUUGAGAUCUUGUUUCUUCAGUAGCAGCUCCUCGUUCCAAUUCUUUUGCAUUUCUUGUUUUUGUACCAUCAUGUUCGAUUUCAUAUUGAUCAGAUCUUCUCUGUGUCUUUGUAUUUGUUCAAAGUGUGUGUCAAUCUCCAAUUUCUGCUUUUCCAUUUCUUUUUGCUGAAUUUCCAAGUUAGUUGUUCUAUUUUGUGCAUCCAGAAUCUUCUGCUCUAUGAAUUGCAUCUUCAUUGUAAUGUCUUGAUGUGUCUUUUCAACCAAGUCUUUUAUUGAGUCUUUCAUAUUUUGGUUGUGUCUCAUCGUUUGCAUGGCCUCUUCUUCUCUCAUGCUUACUUCCGAUAAAUCUCUUUCUAGCAUCAUCCUUUCGUCCAAGGCCUUUCUUCGCUCUUCAUAAAUAUCAAGCUUCUCUUGUUCAAGCUGUGCUGUCCCUUCAAAGAUUCUUUCCACAAUGACUUUAAGCUCCUCCUUCUUAUUCAUGAAAGCAAUCUUAAAACGUUGAACUUCCUCCUGUUGUUUCAUUAGAUUUUCCUGUCCAAUUUGGAUAUCAUCCGUCAAUUGUUUCAAGUCACUGUCUAGAAGCACUUGUUGUUUCUGUUUUUCGGCCAACUGUUGUAUCACUUUAAGAAGUUCUUGGAUGUUCUUUUGGACUUCAAGAAGUUCAUUUUCCAUCUUUUUUCUGUCACCGUUCAUGUCGCUCAAAGCUCUUUGCUUUUCUAUGAGAAGGUCUGUCCUCAAUCUAUAUUCAAUUUCCUCUGUUUGUAUUGAAAUGUCUUGUCCUAAUGUUAUUUGUUCCUCUCUGGGUCUUUGGAUUGAUUGAAAAUAACUCUCCAUUUUCACUCUAUGGUUAUCAAACUCCUGUUUCUUCAGUUGUGUAAGCAAUUUAAGGUUUUUUAUGUCUGCAUUUGAAUCCCGCAAGAUGUCCAUCUUUGUUUGGUGGUCUACUUGUGUCUUAUUUUUAAGCAUUUGUAGAUUAUCUCUGUGAUAUUGUAUUACGCUUGCUGUUCUUAUUAGCAUAUUGUCUUCCAUUUUGGAUUCAUACAGUCCUUUUCCCAUCCUAUUCCUGUCAUCUGCUAUUGUUUUUUGCUGUUUUAUAAUGUCACUCUUUGUCUUUUUGAGGGUUCCCUUCUCUCUUCUGAUAUUGUCCAUAUCAGCUUCGGCCUCUUGUUUCAUGUAGUUGACAUGUAUUUUUAAAUCUUCCACUUUGUCUCUUUCAAUUUGUAAGGUAUCCCGGCAGUCGUUUAAUAAUUGUUUGUUUCUUUCUAUUUCUUUAUCCUUAAGUUCUUGUUCUUUCUGUUUCAUUAUAAUACCAUUCACAACAUUCUUGUAUUCAGCCUUUCUCUUUUGAAUGUCAAGAGCAUCUUCUUGUAGUCUUUUCCUGUGUUCCUGUAUUUCAUUGAGGGCUCUAUUUAUAAUAGCCUGCUUGUUCGCCAGUUCCACCACUGUCAUUUCAUGUCUCUUUUUUUCCUCUUCCAUUUUUCUUUGGUGACUUGGCAGUAUAACCAUUAACCUGUGUAUAAAGGACUUCAUAAAUUCCCAUUCUUCUUUCUCUUUCUUUGUUUUCUCAUCUAUAUCAUUGGAUUUGAUUUGAAUGAUUUGUGUUUGGGCUAAUCCCAGCACAGUUUUACAAUUGUGUUCAUCUUGUGGAAGCAGUUCGAUGUUCGGUUUCACCUGACUUUGGGGUUCUCCCAAUUUCUCUUGAAUGUAAUCAGCCAAGUCCUCUAUGCCUCCUGCUGUAGGCUCUUGCAUUACCUCUACAUUUCCACUUUGUGGUGCCUGCAAUCUUGGUUCUGGCUUCCCUCCGGGGUUUCCUAUUUGCCCUUGCAGAUCUACCUUCAUAACCUCAGAGUCGUUUAUCUUCUCUUUGCUGCUCACCUCAAUCCUCUGUUCCACCACUUUCCUUUUUAGUGUUUCUUGCUCAAAGGCAUCCGUUUCUUUCUGUACUCCAGACAACGACCACAUCCUUUUAGCCUCUUGCUCUUUUCUAUUGACCUUCCGUAAUGUUUUUUUGUUUUGUUUUCUCUCCACUUCCAGCUCAGACUUAAGCAGUUCCAACUCUCUAAUCUCUCUUUUAGUCCUCUCAAAGUGGUCGUCAAGCUCGCUCCUCUUCUUCUGAAUAUCCUCCCUUGUGUGACUCAAAAUUUGCAUCUCAGUUUGGGCCUGUUGUAUCAUUUUUUCUAAAUCAAACUUUUCAAUCUGUAACUCAGAUUUUAGUUUCUCUAUGUUCAUCUUCUCAGUCUUGUUCUCAGCUGCUAGUGUUUCAAUCUCCUCUCGUUGUUUCUCCAGAUUGAGUUUUAGGGUUUUCAGAUCAUUCAUUUUCAUGUUUCCUCUCAUUUCCAUUUCUCCAAGAUCACUCAUAACUUGGUUAAAUUGAUCAGUGUCUCUUCUUUGUAAUUGUAUCUUGUCAAGCCUCCCAGUCUCUCCUUUACCAUUUCGAUUCUCAGUGUGUUUUCGGACCAAAAUACCAUAGCUUUCAUUGUUUUUCUUUUCGUUCUCAUUUUUCUCCUUUUCCUCAGCCAGCUCCUUCUUUAGACGUUCUAGUUUUAUCUUUAGAACCUCUAACUGAUCCCUUUCUCUUCUGAUCCUCUCCAUCCUAUCAUCCAGUUCUCUCCUUCUCUUUUGCGUAUUUGUUUGGAGGGAUUCCUUUUCUCUUUGAAUUUCGACCAACCGCAUUCCAACUUCCUCUCUUUUUCGUAUUUCCCUCUUAGAUGACCUAUCAUUUUCUUUUCUUUUUGUUACCAACUCUGCCUUCAGUAGCUCAAUCUCCCUUGUCUCUCUCUUGAUGUGUCGCAUUUUAUCGUCAAGUUCGUGGGUUUGUUUUGCAAUACCAUCCCUUGCUUUGUUUAUUUCUGUAUACAGCUUUUGUCUUUCCUUUAUCAGGCUCUCUCUCUCGGACUCAACCUGAUGUUUCAACAUCUCCAAUUCCUGUCUUUCAGUUCUGAGACAAGCCCUUAAUAUUUGAAGGUCCUCCUUUUGUUCGUCCAGAGCAGACUCAGUCUCCAUCUUCUGUUUGGGUUGGCCUUGAAGUUCCGCCAUUUCUUUAAUUUCUCUUUCUCCUUGGUCUAAAUUGGCACUGAACUCAGUUUUCUCAUUUGUUUCUUCUUUGGAUACAAGUUCUAAAAUAUCUUGCUCUUCUUUCUCCAUGUCUCUUUCUUGAAAUUGCUGCCUAUCAUUUACCACUUCUCUUUCCUGUAGUUUAACCUGUGCUAGAUAUGCCUCAUCUCUAUCGAUAUUGGAGUCCAUGUCUACCCUUUGCUGACUGAUUUCUCUAUUGACUUUCUGAAGCUCAACGGUUUUCUGGCAAAUCAUAUCAAUGACACUUUCUAAGCUUUGUUUCUCUGCCUCAAUCUUGCAGUUCAAACCCUUGAGUUGUGUCUGUUUUACUUGGUAUUCCUCUAACUUAGUCUUAAAAUGUGAAACCAUACGUUCAAUUUUAUGUUUUACUUUGGAUAUGUUCUCGAUCUGCUGGUCCACCUGCACCUUCUUCUGAUGUAGUUUCAUUUUUAAAAUGUCCAAUUCAUCCCUCUCUCUGAGAGUUUUCUCUCGUCGCUGGUCAAGUUCUCUCUGCUGUUUCCUAAUCAUCAUUUGAAUCCAUUUCAUGUCAGUCCUCCCUUUGCUCAGAUACAUUUCACUUUGAUCCAUCGCAUCUUUAACUUUGUUUAGGACAUCUCUGAUUUGUUGCAACAGCUGCAGCACUGAUCCCUCAGCGUUCCCGCGGACCUCCGUUGGAGCCAUGUCAAUGCAGCUUUCUUCAGUUUCUUUCAAUGAUAUUUGUUCUAAUGAUUCUUGUAUUCUGUUAAUCUCCCGAAUCAAGGUUUGUAUCCUGGCAUUUCCUAACGCCGGUGGCCCCUCUGAUUCACGUUCUAUCAAAUUUGCUGGUUUUGUUUGGUGUUCAGUUGUUAAAGACGCCACUGGCAUUUCAUAUUCAACAUUCUCUUCUUCAUAACUCUGUCUGUUAACCUGUAAACGUACUCUGUACUGUACUGUCUGUUUGAUCUGCCCGAUUGAUCUAUCACCGUGAUUUCCUACGUCCCUAUUGUCUGACCCAUCAUCAGCCCCUUGCAGAUAAAGGUUGCUUAUAUCCUCAAUCAGUCUUUCCAUCUCUUUGUGGUUUUGUUUUAAGUUGUCCAUAGCCCCUUUCACUAUCUCCUCUUCCUCUCCGAGUUUUGAGACAUAGCUUUCGGUUUCCGUCCUAUCCCUCACAGUCCUUUUUUGUUCCGUUUUAUCCUGAAAUCCAGCUUUUGAGCUGUGUUCAGGUGAAUCCAUAUCCUGCUUAUCCUGUGUAACCACCCUUGAUGGUUGAAUUCCCAGGCUUUCCUUUUCAAUUGUUGAAUACUUACCAAACGUUUGUUCUUCCUCACUUCGUUGACUGACAUCAAGAAAGGUUUGUGUUGCCUUUUCCCGUGCAGUUGGUUGAUCAGGGAGAAUACUUUUUUUUGUUGCCUCCAUGGGGGUGUGAUCAAUCCCUGCACUCGUACUCUGCAUGUCCCCUUUCAUCUCAUCUAUGACGCCCAUGUUAGAACCAGACUCCUUAGUCUUCUGUUCCUCCUUCUCCAGCUGCAUUUUCAUCUUCAUCACCUCCAGGGCAUCCCUUUCCUGAGCAAUCUUCUCCAAUCUUUGGUCAAGCUCACGUCUUUGUUUCUGCGCUCUGUAAUUUGUCCACUUGGUUUGGCUUUCGUCCUGUUGCAUAUUGGUUCUCCCUUGCUUGGGUGUCUGUGUCACCGUCUUUAACACAUCUCUGAUCGCUUGCACUUUAUGAACCAACCUUUGGAUUUUUGCGUUCACUCUGAUCCCUUCACCUGCCCCCGCAUUCUCUGUAUCCGUAGCAAAUUUACUUGCAUCUUCCUUCUUUGACCUCUCUUUCUCAUCCAUGUCUUCUUCUACUUGCGGUACAGUUUCCCUUCUCUUGUCAGCAUCUUGCUGUUUCAUCAUGGUGCGCCUCAUACUUUUCUCCAGGUUACUUUUCUUUGUGUCAAUCUCAGUGUUCAAGACUUCCCUCUCUCGUAUCUGUCUUCUUGUCUUUUCCAACUUUUCAUCAAGCUCCAGCUGCUGCCUUUGAAUGUUCUCCUUCAUCUUUUUCACUUCGUCCAUCUCUGUCUUCACAAACUGCCUAUCUCUUUCUAUGCCAUCUCUCUGGGCCAUUAUUUCAGUUUUCACUCGGUCCUCAUUCAUUUCAUGUAUCGCUGCCGUCAUCCGAUCUCGGGGGGCUACAGUUUGCCUCUCUACAUCAUCUGUAAUAUGUUGUGACCUUGGCCUCAUCUCGGCUGUCAGUUGGUGUUCUGCGGGCCCCGGGGUUCUAGUCUCUGCGGAGACUUCCUGCCCUUCCAAUUCAAGCCAAAGUCUUUCCACUGCUGCCUUCACUCGGUUCAGUUCAUUCUUCAUCUUCUCAUACGGCUCAUUGUCGUCAGGCAGUCUGGCAGUGUGCGAGUGCUCCAUCUUGUUCUUGCGUUUCUCUGUCUCUCUGAUGUUUGUGCUUAUUUGAAGUCGCAUCCGCUUCAUUUGCUUCCUUAGAAAUGCAAUUUCAUACUUUGCCAUCCUGAAGUUGUGUUUUAUUUCAGCAAUAUAUUUUUGCAUUUGUCCUUCCACUUGCUUCGCUUCACCUACUCUUCUCUUGUUUUCCUGAAUGUGACACUGGAUGUCAGCCUGAAUCUUUAUGAAUGCAUCUUGCAGUUGUUUAUUUGUUUUUGUCGGUUCUGUGUGCCUUAUUGGCUUAUCAUGCAUGAUCAGUGCUUUGAAUAUUUCUCGCUCAUUCAUGAACUCAUUUCGCCUGCAGUCUAUAAGUUCUCUUUCUGUUUUGACAUCAGCCCAGACUUUUUCAAUUAGCUCUUUUUCAUUCCUUAUAUCUUCCUUGGUCUUCUGCAGUUUCUGAAUAGCACCGCCUAGCUUAACUUCUAAACUCAUUAUCAAUAAAUUCUGCUGUUGUUUUUCUGCUUUAAGUUGAACAAUUGAUGAUUGUUGGUCUUCAUUUCUUGCCUUCAUCUGGACAAUUUCAGCCUUUUCUGAUUUAGUAUACUCGAAAAGUAUUUCAAUUUCUUUGAUAGCUUGCAGUGUCUCUUGUUUUUGUUUUCUUAGAUAGUACGUCUUGCUUUGCGGGUCAAAGGCGACUACUUUUUCUUCCAAUUGUUCAGGAUUUUCCAAGGAGUUACUCUGCUCGGUUUGGGUCAUCUUGGAGUUUACUUGUCUUUGCUCUUUAAAUGGAAGUAAUACAUGAUCAAUUGCUUUAAGCUUUAGCCUCAUAGUAACUUGUUGUUCCAAUCAUUUUAUUCCCAACAUUACUAUCACACAGGGAUAAUAAAAUGUUUGCAUUGAAAAAAUAUAGACUCAAAGAUGGUAGAACAACAAAUAAUAUUUUGAACCGUAUUUAAAUAUUACAAUUUAGGAUUUAUUUUCUGGCAAUCGGCAUACCACGCACAAAUGUUCAAAAAACGAAUGCAGGGUCAGUUGAUGGCCUUGAAAUAUGCAUCCUAUUCUAUUGUCUUGGCCGUUAAAACACAGAUAUUCCUCGAUUUAUUUUAUAUAAACCAAAAAGAAAACUCACCUGAAAUUCCUACAAGCUCAGGCUCUUUCAGCGCUAGUAUUUGGUAGAAGGCAUCUUUGGCUUCAGAUGUCCCCCUUUCCAUAGCGUGAAACAGCGCCCUCAGCUGAUCUUGCGGGGUAUGAGCUUCGUUGAUAGAAAUCAGGUCCUCCUCGGAUGAUAUCAGCUGCUGUGCAAUGGAAGCCUCAACAAUGGCUUCAGCUGAUUUUACCCCAGCAAGGAGUUUGUCGCUGAUUCCUUGCAGGAAUGUGCCCACUGGAAAACACAUUGUUGGUUUUAUGAAUUAAAAAAUAAUAUAUCCACCAUAUUUAGCUUUUGCUUUUUUAAUAUAGUUUACCGUUGUAUUGAUGUUUCGCCAUGUUUUAAUGGUGAAAUGGAUGUUAAGACCCCUGCAAAACAUAUCAAAGAGGAAACAUUCUAAAUAAUUUAUAAAUAAUUGAACAUAAAUAAUUUCAAUUCAUGAAAAAAAGAAAAAAAUAUAUGUAAAGAAAGAUUUUCUAAAACUCUUUAGGUUCGUGUUCUAUGUAUU